rnacentral:rRNA from 1 species
AACGAACGCUGGCGGCAUGCCUAACACAUGCAAGUCGAACGAGACCUUCGGGUCUAGUGGCGCAUGGGUGCGUAACGCGUGGGAACCUGCCUUUAGGUUCGGAAUAACUCAGAGAAAUUUGAGCUAAUACCGGAUAAUGUCUUCGGACCAAAGAUUUAUCGCCUUUAGAUGGGCCCGCGUUGGAUUAGCUAGUUGGUGGGGUAAAGGCCUACCAAGGCGACGAUCCAUAGCUGGUCUGAGAGGAUGAUCAGCCACACUGGGACUGAGACACGGCCCAGACUCCUACGGGAGGCAGCAGUGGGAAUAUUGGACAAUGGGCGAAAGCCUGAUCCAGCAAUGCCGCGUGAGUGAUGAAGGCCUUAGGGUUGUAAAGNUCUUUUACCCGAGAUGAUAAUGACAGUAUCGGGAGAAUAAGCUCCGGCUAACUCCGUGCCAGCAGCCGCGGUAAUGUGACUAC